rnacentral:lncRNA from 1 species
AUAGUGCAUCAGUUUGCCUCCAAGUGCACUAUAAACCAAUUUUAACUCAGAAAUGUGACAUCAAGAAGAAUAUAACAUAUUGGAUUAUUUUAGUGGUACAUCAUCAAUUUACCAUGUACCGAAAGGUGUUCAUAAUGGACACUCGGCGCCCCCUAUUGGAGGGGCGUCGGUAUAAGGGGGUGCCGGGUGUCUAUUAUAGACACCCUUCGGUACCCCUUUAAGUACCACUAGAAUAAUCCUAACAUAUUAGGCCAUGUUUGAGCCCCAAUUUAUUUAUUUAUUUAUUAUUAUUUUUUUGUUAAGUAAAAUGUAUUUUGAAAUAGUAAAUUGAUGAAAAAUGUGUGGUUAAAAGUGAAGGAAAAGUUUUUAGGUUGCGUGUAAUAUUAUUUUAUUGAAGAAUGUGUGAUUAAAAAUAAUAGAGAGAAAAAUGUAUUUAAAAAAUAUAUGGGGAUCAAACAAGAGGUUAUUGUGGUUUAUAGUUUUAAUUCCGGGAAGUUUUGCACUCGUAUUGAUGAAUAUAUACAUUUUAGGAUUUCGAUACGGGAUGGUCACACUGGAUUUUGACUUGAUUUGGGGAUUUUAUUUUAUUUUAUUUUAUUUUUUUUUGGUGUUUUGGAUUUCUUUCCGUUUUCGAGAAUUUAAUUGAUAAAGUUCUUAGACAUUAGUUUAGGAACUUAAUAGUAAAAGUAGCAAAUGAAAUUGUUAAUAGGAAGACAGGAAUUGGUGGUAAUUACUAAAUAAUUCUCUUAUAUUUAGAAAGAAGAGAGUAUUCAAAAAUGCUGGAAAAGGCAAGAUUUAUAAGGCAGGUCUAUGCGUGAAGGUGUUCUAGAAAAGAUGUGAAAAAAAUAGUAAAGGAAAAAUACAUAACUAUGAUAUUUCAAUUACACAAUUUCAUAUUUAACAAACAUACGAAAUUAUUCCAAAAUCAGGUGAUA